GCGCAUGGAGAUCAAACUGACAUGGGAAUUGCUAGCAAUUACUAACAAUUCCCUUCCCUCUACAAUAGUAUUACAGUAAUGGCUAUAUUAAAUAAAAUAAUACUAUAUUAAAGAUGCUGACUUUCUACGGAGUUGACUGCGCCGUACCUGUCUCACUUAUUUUAACAAGCAAAUUACUUUUAAAGACAAAUUUCCCUUGAAAGGUCGACCAGAAACCGGAACUAGGACAUCAUUUAUAUUCAAAACAACGCAAUCAUAUUCAGCCAACUAACGCCUCGCAGUAUCAGAUGGGAUUAUUAAACACCCCCCACAGCUGCAAGCAGCAUUUUGAGUCAAGCGAGUUUACAUCAGAAACUGCUACACGAACAACUGCGUGAUUCAAGCACAGUCUCCCUAGAGAUAUCAUACUAAAGCUAUUACGGAACGUAGGCGUUAGAACAGGGGAGGUCAUAACGUCAGAAACUCAGGGCAUUAUGAAAUACGACGCACAAAUCCCAACUUUCUUAUCUGUCAUCGUUACAUUUCUUUGUAAUAAAUAAAGUCAUAUAAAUGUGAAAGUAAAUAUGUGUAAACUAUAUGUACAUUAUUUAUUGCAUAUGUACAUUAUGUUGUUUAAUGGAUCAAACUGAAAUGAUAAAAU